rnacentral:rRNA from 1 species
UACGUAGGUGGCGAGCGUUGUCCGGAUUUACUGGGCGUAAAGAGUGCGCAGGCGGUCGUAUAAGUCGCGUGUGAAAGCCCCCGGCUCAACUGGGGAGGGUCACGCGAUACUGUUCGACUCGAAGGCAGGAGAGGGAAGUGGAAUUCCCGGUGUAGUGGUGAAAUGCGUAGAUAUCGGGAGGAACACCAGUGGCGAAGGCGACUUCCUGGCCUGUUCUUGACGCUGAGGCGCGAAAGCUAGGGUAGCAAACGGG